GUUUAACUGAAUAUUUCCGGUAUUUGGAAGCAACUCCAAAUAAUAGGAAUGUGAUAGAAGGAGAAGCGGUCUUGAAUGCCGGUCAUGUAUUAUGUGUGGGAAUAUAGGUAAAAGUAUUAGUAUUAUGCUUAGAAUUGUUCGCCUUAACAUCUUGAAAAUAAUAUUAAAAAAAAAUAUCUUUAUAUUUCAGCAAAGCAAGCCUCUGACUUGGGGAAUUGUAAAUAUAUCAUAAAAGAGAAUAAUAAUUAUGAACUGAAAAAAAAACAUAAAUACUUUGCACAGGUGCAGGUGAGAAUUGCAAUCCUAAAUUUAGACAUUUGCCACUUUAUUAUUUAUUUUUCAAGCAAUAAUUCAUUCAUUGAAAUUAAGGUGCCCUUUGAUGAAGAAUACAAAUAUAAUAUGUUAACUUCUUUGAAAAAAAAAUAUAUUGAGAAAAUGUUACACCAUAUUUGUAAUGAAUAAUUGAAAAAUUAAUAUAUUUUUUGAAAUAAAA